UGGAAUGAGUACAAUUUAAACCUCUUAACGAGGAACAAUUGGAGGGCAAGUCUGGUGCCAGCAGCCGCGGUAAUUCCAGCUCCAAUAGCGUAUAUUAAAGUUGUUGCAGUUAAAAAGCUCGUAGUUGAAACUUGGGUCUGGCUGGCGGGUCCGCCUCACCGCGUGCACUCGUCCGGCCGGGCCUUCCUUCUGAAGAACCUCAUGCCCUUCACUGGGCGUGUUGGGGAAUCAGGACUUUUACUUUGAAAAAAUUAGAGUGUUCAAAGCAGGCCUUUGCUCGAAUACGUUAGCAUGGAAUAAUAAAAUAGGGCGUGCGUUUCUAUUUUGUUGGUUUCUAGAGACGCCGCAAUGAUUAACAGGAACAGUCGGGGGCAUCAGUAUUCAGUUGUCAGAGGUGAAAUUCUUGGAUUUACUGAAGACUAACUACUGCGAAAGCAUUUGCCAAGGAUGUUUUCAUUAAUCAGUGAACGAAAGUUAGGGGAUCGAAGACGAUCAGAUACCGUCGUAGUCUUAACCGUAAACUAUGCCGACUAGGGAUCGGGCGAUGUUCUUUUUCUGACUCGCUCGGCACCUUACGAGAAAUCAAAGUUUUUGGGUUCUGGGGGGAUUAUGGUCGCAAGGCUGAAACUUAAAGGA
rnacentral:rRNA from 1 species